GUUCUCACUUUGGCAGCACAUAUACUGAAAUUGAAAAAAUACAGAGAUUAAUAGGGCCCCUGUGCAAGGAUAACACACAAAUUCAUGAAACAUUCCAUAUUUUU
ensembl:snRNA U6 U6 spliceosomal RNA